rnacentral:lncRNA from 1 species
UAUUGCCUUCUCCAGUACUUUCAUCGCGCUCUCCAUCGUCGGAGGUUAGAUACUAUAGGAUUUGGGAAUAGAGUUGAGAGGGUAAGUCCUUUUUUUUUAGAACCGUACUUGUAUCAUUGCUACGAACCAGCGUGGGUGCUAGCGGCUAGUAUCCGUGCCCUCUAUCGACAUUCGAGUUGUUUUAUCGGGUCAUUGGAGGUUUGAUAUACCCCUAGAUCCAUGCUCGUUAGACUAAUCGGGACUCGCCCUAGGUCUGUGGCUUAUCUUGUAUCUUACAUUUAUUUUCGUGAUUUUUUUCAUAUAUAUAUAUAUAU